rnacentral:rRNA from 1 species
AACCUUAUUUGGUCUUGCGAUGUUCCUCCUACAGUUCGAAACUUUGCUUGGAAAGUCGCUACUAAUGCUUUGCCGACAUGGCAGAAGAAGCAUAGUAGGAGUCUGGAGGUUAAUGACCUUUGUCCAAUUUGUGCUGUUGAGCCGGAAGAUAACUUCCAUCCCCUCUGUCGCUGCACUUUUGCUAGAGAAUUAUGGUCAACAAUGUCGGAGGUUUGGUCCUUACCUGACUUGGCUGCUAUUAGAAAUACAGGUAAGGAAUGGCUGCUUCAUGUCCUUGACCCAUUGCCAGAAAUCGAGAGGUGCAUGCUUCUUUUGACUUUGUGGAGGAUUUGGCACAUCCGUAAUGAAGUGUUACACCAUAAACCUGCGCCCCCAAUGGAAGCGUCCAGGAGGUAUUUGGUGAGUUACCUUGAUUCCUUGGUUGGUCUUAAAAUUGAUCUAUCUUCUGAUCCGAGCAAAGGGAAGUCCUUAGUUACAUACGACAGGCCACUUAAAAAUCCACAUGUUCGAAUAGUUGAGAGCACUCCUGUCAAAUGGUGUCCCCCUAUGGCGGGUUGGGUGAAACUGAAUACUGAUGGGUCCUUUGCAGUAAAUGGUACGGCUGGUGCGGGGAUGGUGCUGCGAGAUGACAAAGGUAAUGUCAUCUACUCAGCUUGCAGGGAGCUUUUUUCAUGCCGAGAAAUUCUUGAAGCUGAGUUGUGUGCUUGCAUGGAAGGCCUGUCUUUUGCAAUUCAGAGAAGCGACUUGCCGAUCAUUAUUGAGAUGGACUCCAUUAUUGCAGUCAAGCUGAUUCAAGCGAUGGAUAUUGAUAGAUCGAUCUACUCUUCUUUAGUUAAAGAAAUUAGACACCUGAUGUCUCUUCGUGAUUCUUGUAUUACUCAUAUAAAUCGUACGCAAAAUAAGGUUAGCGAUAGCUUAGCAAAGUUUGCUAGACAAGAGGGCAGAACAAUGACCUGGGUUGGGUCAGGCCCAUUAGUUUCUUUACAGCUAGCCGAGGCUGAUUGUAUGGACAUUGAGAUUUGA